GAAGUUCUGGCUAGGAAAAUGCCAGACAAGCCCCAGAGGAAGAAAUGAAGAAAUCAUUACUUAGAGUCACAAAGAGGACGGCCAAUCAAAGCGUGGGCAGGACGGGGGAUGGGCCCACCCAGGUGUGGACAGGUUUGCUGUGCUGUAUGACAUGUGGACUUGGGAAGCAGCUCUUCUGGAAAACAAGCGCCAGACAAAUGGACCUGAUCAUGUUAUGUCACAUGGGGGAAAGCAGCUGGGCAAGGAGUGCGGAGUGCAAUGAGUUGUGAGGGUGAGUUUAAAGCAAUGCAA
rnacentral:lncRNA from 1 species